rnacentral:tRNA from 6 species
GGGUGGUUAGUUCAGAGGAAGAACGCUUCCUUGACGCGGAAGAGGUCGCAGGUUCGAGUCCUGCACCACCCACCA